rnacentral:misc_RNA from 1 species
UCAAACUUGGUCAUUUAGAGGAAGUAAAAGUCGUAACAAGGUUUCCGUAGGUGAACCUGCGGAAGGAUCAUUAACAAAUCUUUGUGCAUUGCUUUCUCUGCACACAUUCACACCACAGCCUUCCUCGGUUGGCUGUGGCUGCCUGUUACGAGGGAUGGUUUCGGCUGUCCUUCUGACACAUUGAUGCCUGUCUGUUUGACUGUAUUGUGUGUGUGAGACAAAGAAACAACAACUUUUAACAAUGGAUCUCUUGGCUCUUGCAUCGAUGAAGAACGCAGC